AUUGGGAAUAGAAUGUAGCUUCACCAGCCCGUACCACCCACAAACCAAUGGAUUGGCUGAAAAUGCUAAUAAAUCCAUAAAAAGAGCAUUGCGGAAGAUGGUUGACGACGACGGGAGUAAUGGGGAUAAAUUACUUGACCCCAUUUUGUUUUCUUUGUGGACUAAAGUACACGCAACAAAAAUUUCACUGUUUCGACUGUUUUGUGAUGACCCACGGUUUCCAGAAGAAGUCUCAGAAUUACACGAUCCCAGAUCCGAAUACACUUGGGGAAGAUUUCUGCAAAGACUACAGCAUCAAUAUGAAAUCGAGACAUGACACUGACA